GUUCGCGGUAGUAAAAGUACAGAAUGUCACCAUAGCAAAACGUUAACUAGCAUAUUUACUUAUGUCAUAUUCUAAAGCAUUAACCUAAACUGUAGAGAUCCAUUAACCAUGCAACCCUCCAAGAGUAUAUAUUUGCAAACAUAACUGUGAUCCCGUCUCUGCUCAUCAUCUUCGCUCCGUUGAUGACCGCCACCAUGCUGUCCUCGCAAGUGGACAAGCUACAGUUGAUGUUGUACGACAGACUUCGCAACGAUAGAGAUAAACCUGACUAUGUCGCUUUGCAGAAAUUGAUCCGUUACAUCAAAGCCAGGCCUUUUAAGUACAAAGUGGCUGGUGUUAUACCCCUAGACUGGAC